UCAGCCUUGCAGUGGAGGAUUGAUUUCCUUAAACCCAAACCAUUCUUACUCUUGCCUGAUGUGACAGUGCAUGCCUUUGCUGCAGUCUUGCUGUUGCUGUCUGCUGAAGUCRUCUUUCCAAUGCUGAUGUUGGGCUUGGGGAGAGAUGAGGUGCUUUCUCACUGCUUAAUGAGUCUGUCACAGCCUGCAGAGUCCUCUGGAGAUGUGCAGUUUUUCCAGAAAACCUCCUCCUAGAUGGAUGUGUGAAAAUGAUUUAAAGGGAAUGGCAGUUCUCUGGGACCAAUCAAAAAAGAAAAGGCAGAAAUACAGGAAUGAGGCCUUCCCUCAUGCCAAGUCAAUGAAGACCAGCUUCCAGRUCUAAUUUAAAGCCUCCUUAACUUCAUUAGUGUUAAGGCUGUCCUCCAGUGGUGGAGGAACAGGAUUGAUGGCCGUAAAAUGGAGACCUAUGUGUCAUGAGUUGGAUCCUCUUGUCUGGUGCUUCGAGUGACUCUUGGUGAGUCUGGGCUUACCUUUGGCAAGAAAGUGGAGACACUGGAAAUGAGAUGAGUGGAUUAAAGACUGUUGAGAGCAGGAUGGGGAUGCUGGCAUGGGAUCUUCGGUGCAAAGAGAUGCCUGGCCAUGGGCAGUCAAGGUCCCAGUGAACUAUUUAAGAGGUCAGACCUAUCUGACUGCUUUUUCCAGACUCAUGAGAUUUUUUGAGAAACCUGAGCUGCUCAGUGAAACACUGUGACUUCCUGCUGCCUCUCGAAUUUACCAGUAGCUUCACAGUAAAUAUACUGUUAUGAUAAUGCUAAACCAGAGGAGUAGAUAAUCUGAAAACAAAUUUAACACUCUUAUUGUGCUAAUAGUUCACAUCACCUCUUCCAUUUUUCUGGGAGUAAUCCUGCACUGCUACACCCAGGUGGGAAGGAAUACUGGCUUUCACAGGAGUGUUGUUAACGUAACGGAGCAUGAAUUGUAUUUGCACUAGUGGUUCCAKCAGAAAGGUGCAUUGAGAAUCUGAGUGACUUUUCUUGUGACUUCCACCUAGGAAAUAAAACACAAUUGAGGGAGAUCUUUGUUUCACACUCACAAAACAGAGUUUUUUGUUGUUUGCCUAAUUCCCUGCUCCUUAUGCAUGGUUGGUAGAGCAGGCAGUUCCUUUGGAUGUAACUGUAGAGGUGUUAACACAAUGCACCUCCRGUCCAGAGCAGAAACUUGAGGUAACAGUACCCCUCUGGUAUUCACAGGUAGGUUUGUGAACCUGAUGAAAAGUCAGCUCUUCACRCUUGUGGUUUUGGCUGUAUACAGGCUGCACACACAAAUGUGUCCCAUGUGAAGUGCUGGUUUGAGAUGCAUGGCGUUGGGAGGAGAAAAAGGUACCUCCUAGGCGAGAGCCUGUUCUUGUGCCUGCCUCCUGGCAGCCUUCAGUUUUCAGUGUGCAUCUCUCAUCGCUGGCAACAAGGGAGCACUCUUCUUCCAACUCAUCUGGAGCUAAUAAGGCUGGAGCCUCUGUAAUUGAAACGGGGAGGAUUUGGCAUGCUGUGCCAUAGGGGCCAUAGGAACACC